AGCCAUUUGGAGGUAUGAAGAGAUCUUGGAAAUAGAGGCCAUGUGUAUUGAAACAAGACCAAACAACUCCAAGUUCCUGAAGACUUCAUUUCACCAACCCAGAACCUCCUUGAUCAUCACAGUGGUCGAACCAUUUUACGUUUUCACCAGCAAUGAAGGAGGGUUCCUGUUGCUCUACUAUUUGGUACUGUCAGUGUUUUGGAUAUUAGCCAUCUUAAUAGAAAAGAGUGAGUAACUAGUGGCCCUUAGAUGAGCCAACCGCAAGCCUGGGCUCAUCUUUGAUAUCUCCUGCUUCCCUCCAUAAUGACUGUCCUUGCUCCUCUUGCCCAAGCCUUCGCAUGGAUGAUUGUCUGUCCUCUGUUGGGCCCCUUCUGAAGAGUUGGAGUUGGUUGCAAACUGUAGAAACCAUUUGGGCUGGUUUGAGCAUAAAAGGAAAUUACUGAGAGUUAUUAGGAGCUCGGUGAUUCAUUGGGAGGUCUGGCAAAAAAGAAGCUCAAGGCUAAGCUCAUAGGAACACAGCCCGGCAUCUCACACAGAAGUGGCUUGAUGAGGAUUCUACUGCCUCCACAGCUCCUGCCAUCAUCUUCAUCUGCACCAUAGAUGCUCAGAACCCAGUCUGUGUCGGCAUGUUGCUGACUUCCAAAUCAGAGAUUCAUGAGAGUGUAUUUGGUUGGUAGAACAUAGGUCCCAGACCUACUCCCUGGGAGCUGCAAGGGAUGCUGGGAAAUUCUGCCCUGGAAAAAUAAAACUCACAAUGUGGGAAACAAAGAAAAUGU
rnacentral:lncRNA from 1 species